CGACGGUGAGUAACGCGUUGCAACUUACCUAUCAGAGGGGAGUAACCCGGCGAAAGUCGGACUAAUACCGCAUGAGACCUGAGGGUGAAAGCGGGGGAUCGCAAGACCUCGCGCUGGAAGAGCGGCCGAUGUCCGAUUAGCUAGUUGGUGAGGUAAAGGCUCACCAAGGCGACGAUCGGUAGCUGGUCUGAGAGGACGACCAGCCACACUGGGACUGAGACACGGUCCAA
rnacentral:rRNA from 1 species